ACCGCCCUCCCCGCUUCCCGCUCCCCGCGCUCCUCCGCUCGGGCCCGCCAGCCGAGGCCGCUCCCGAGCGUCGGAAGAUGCCGGCGGUGUCCAAGGGGGACGGGAUGCGGGGCCUGGCGGUCUUCAUCUCGGAUAUCCGCAACUGUAAAAGUAAAGAAGCAGAAAUAAAAAGGAUAAACAAGGAACUGGCAAAUAUCAGAUCAAAAUUUAAAGGUGAAGCCCACCAUCCAGGACGUGCUGCGCAGCGACAGCCAGCUGAGGAAUGCAGAUGUGGAGCUGCAGCAGCGUGCCGUGGAGUACUUGCGGCUCAGCACCGUGGCCAGCACCGACAUUCUGGCAACCGUGCUGGAGGAGAUGCCCCCGUUCCCGGAGCGGGAGUCCUCCAUCUUGGCAAAGCUCAAGAAGAAGAAGGGCCCCAGCACGGUGACAGACCUGGAGGACACCAAGCGGGAGAGGAGUGUGGAUGUGAACGGGGGUCCUGAGCCUGCCCCGGCCAGCACCAGCGCCGUGUCUACACCUUCUCCGUCGGCAGACCUGCUGGGUCUCGGGGCCGCCCCCCCUG
rnacentral:sRNA from 1 species